rnacentral:rRNA from 1 species
UGGGGAAUAUUGCACAAUGGGCGAAAGCCUGAUGCAGCGACGCCGCGUGAGGGAUGACGGCCUUCGGGUUGUAAACCUCUUUCAGUAGGGACGAAGCGCAAGUGACGGUACCUACAGAAGAAGCACCGGCCAACUACGUGCCAGCAGCCGCGGUAAUACGUAGGGUGCGAGCGUUGUCCGGAUUCACUGGGCGUAAAGAGCUCGUAGGCGGUUUGUCACGUCGUCUGUGAAAACCCGAGGCUUAACCUCGGGCCUGCAGGCGAUACGGGCAGACUUGAGUACUGUAGGGGAGACUGGAAUUCCUGUUGUAGCGGUGGAAUGCGCAGAUAUCAGGAGGAACACCGGUGGCGAAGGCGGGUCUCUGGGCAGUAACUGACGCUGAGGAGCGAAAGCGUGGGUAGCGAACAG